rnacentral:lncRNA from 1 species
CACAGGGCCAUGCAGUGGUCCUUCUGCAGUGUAAAGCUCACCACCAGCAUUGAGUGGGAUCCCUUUCUUCCAAGCUCCCUGCCUGGCAGCCAUCAGGACCCCGUGGUGUGGAGAUGCAGCAAGGAAGCCAGGUUGCCUCCAGGGGGAAGCAGGCACGGGGGAAGAAGAACAGACAUGAAACAUAAUAGGAAGCUGUGAUGCUCCAAAAAUAUUGCAGGAUCGGAUGACACCAAAACCUUCACCAAACUUGGGACCACGACACCAUUCACACCUGGACGUGCUGAAAUGGAGGAAACAUCAUCAAAGUUUUUACUAAAGUAAAAACACUGCGAUGGAUACUAUAGAAGUUGUAUCACACACACACACACACACACACAGAUUUAUAUAUAUAUAUAGUUUUCUCAAACAAAAACAGUAUAAAA